CUGUAUCGGAGCACAGCGGCGUGAGAUGUAGAAGGCUCUUACGGCUCGUGAACUUCUGUUUGUUGGAGAAGAACGUGCGUCAGAGUCACUGUUUACGCCGUGACCGUAUCCAACCAGAAAGUCCGGCUAAUACGUGCCAGCAGCCGCGGUAAU
rnacentral:rRNA from 1 species